ACCAGUAGGUCACAUGUCAGUACAUACACACAACCAGUAGGUCACAUGUCAGUACAUACACACAACCAGUAGGUCACAUGUCAGUACAUACACACAACCAGUAGGUCACAUGUCAGUACAGACACACCACAAGUAGGUCACCACAACCAGUAGGUCACAUGUCAGUACAUACACACAACCAGUAGGUCACAUGUCAGUACAUACACACCACAAGUAGGUCACAUGUCAGUACAUACACACAACCAGUAGGUCACAUGUCAGUACAUACACACAACCAGUAGGUCACAUGUCAGUACAUACACACAACCAGUAGGUCACAUGUCAGUACAUACACACAACCAGUAGGUCACAUGUCAGUACAUACACACAACAAGUAGGUCACAUGUCAGUACAUACACACAACCAGUAGGUCACAUGUCAGUACAUACACACAACCAGUAGGUCACAUGUCAGUACAUACACACAACCAGUAGGUCACAUGUCAGUACAUACACACAACCAGUAGGUCACAUGUCAGUACAUACACACAACAAGUAGGUCACAUGUCAGUACAUACACACAACCAGUAGGUCACAUGUCAGUACAUACACACAACCAGUAGGUCACAUGUCAGUACAUACACACAACCAGUAGGUCACAUGUCAGUACAUACACACAACCAGUAGGUCACAUGUCAGUACAUACACACAACAAGUAGGUCACAUGUCAGUACAUACACACAACCAGUAGGUCACAUGUCA